UUCUUCUUUUUACCGCUGACCCCACUAUCGGACGUCAGGGAGUCGUUGGAGGUGUUCCUCCGGAUCCCCUUUUCACCCUUCGGGUGCAAGAACCGGUCGAUCACUUGACGGAUGUGACUGUGGGUACGACUGAACGGGUUCGUGUACAUUUUCGACGCGCGUUUCAAGUCCGCAUUAACCGUAAAACUGAUGAAAAGUUCCGCAGUGUGACCGGUUUUAUAGGCGGCGACGAUUUACGUCACACGGGGUCAACGUUAAGGAACCCACCGAUGCGACGUCCAGGGUUCCAGUCGAGGCAAAAAAGGCGGUCGGUUCUCGAUAUUGUCGGUCAAGAGUACGUUUAAUUGAACGUCAAGAUCAACCUAAGAACCGUCCACAAUAAUAAUUGCUGUUUGAGGGUCGCUUCUUUUGGGGAGUUUUCGUACAUCGACAUCGGGAACUUGUUGGAUAAAACUAAUAAGCGGCAAACUUCCAAACGUUUAAAGUCGUUAAAACAAACUUAUAUGGCAGGCAAUCAUUUGAUUAAUAAUAAAUAAAGUCGCUAUUAAGGCAUUAAAUAGUGACGCCGUAGAGAGCACGUAAGAUGUCCGAGAGAAGCAUUUAUAAGCUGACAAAGUUCUUUAUGACGGCCAUAGGGCUAUGGGGCAAAUUCGAGACGAAACAGGCCCAGAAGUGGUAUCGCAUAUACGGUUUUUCCACGAAAACCAUAUACAUCUUAUACAACCUCUCGAUGGUGGUAAAAGUGACCCAGGUGGCCCUCGAUCAUAGCGAGUCUCAGAACGUUUUUGGCCUGGUCUCACUUGCGGCCCUAAUAACCCUGGUUAAUAUCAAAAUAGUCGUUUUCUCUUUUAACAACGUGUCAGGCCUAUUUCAGCAUGUAAUCGACGAAGAAGGCAACAUAUUAUUAAGUGCCUCUUCUGACAGUGACAUCAAACGGUCCUAUUUGGACCACUGUAAGUUCUACCGAGCAACUUCGAGGUUCCAAGUGUUCACCACGGUGGUCUCAGUGUAUUUUUACAUAAUAUUUAAUGUCCAUAAGUUGGUGUCACAUAAACUGGCCCCAGGGGAGAACUUCAUGUACGAGUUGUGGUUGCCGUUCGAUAUAAACGAGAACGGACCAGUGAUGAUCGUUUGCAAACUCUGUUUGUCCCAAAUGGGCGUUUUGUUCAAUUCCUGUUCUCAGGUCAUGUUGCAGAGCCUUAUGGUGUUUGUCACCUCUCAACUGGCGAUUUUGCAAAUUAGGGCGCGCACUAUGUUCGAUCGAAGGACCGGCGUAGAGGCCCUCAUUGAGAAACAUCAGUUUUUAAUCGGAUUCGUGAGCAAAAUCAACGAGGCCAUAAAGUACGUGAUCCUACUCGAGUACAUCCUCAACUCCGUUAAUAUAGCGACCGCCCUACUACAAAUCCUGAUGUCCCAUUCAUUAAUCGAGAUCACGUUCUCACUCGUUUAUCUGCUGUUGCUACUGUCUCAGGUCAUGAUAUUCGGUUGGACCGCUUCUCGAAUUAGUACACAGAGUUUUAAUGUGUCAAACGCAGUAUAUUCGAGCAAUUGGACAGAGCAGUCUGAGUCAGUAAAGAGGACGUUGCUGAUCGUGAUGAUGCGCGCUCAGAAACCCCUGACCCUGGACAUUGGACCGUUUAUUCCGAUGAAUAAUGAGGCGUGUUUAACGACUCUCAAAGGGGCCUACUCGUAUGCAGGGGUCAUGAGACAUGGAUACCUGCAGUAGAUCUUGAUGCUGCUGAAUUAUUAUUAUUAUUAAACAGACUUUAAUGCAAUGGAGGCUCAUUUAUUAGUUGUGAGGCAUGAACGUGAUUUUCCGUACUUAUGGGAGGGUCUUGCUAAGCAGUUACAUUAGAAACAAUGAGCUCCUCGUUCGGGCAAAAGCCAUGAGCAGUGAAGUCAAAAAAACACAUCUCGUGAGAGUC
rnacentral:misc_RNA from 1 species